CCCUGACUAGCUCUGUUAGUAGAGCAUGAGACUCAUAAUCUCUGGGUCGUGGGCUUGUGUCCCACGUCGGGCG
rnacentral:tRNA from 1 species